UUUUCGAUUAUGCACCCCCAAACGGAAAAUGGAAAAUGAAACAUUCGGAUAACAAAUCCUGGGAAUGUUAGUUGUCAGGGAAACCGAUCGCGAGCCAACAACUGACUCAUGCCACAACUGAUCUGUAAGGAAACAUGGCUAAUUUGGAGUCUCACUACGAGAUGAUAAAUCAACUCUUUCUGUCGGGGAAAACUCACGCCGAAAUGUCUGAGACAUUGAAGAGUAUGGGAAUUAAGGGGUCCUCGGAGAUGUCGGUGAGGAGAUUCUGUGGCGACGUUGGGCUGAGACGGAAGGGGCACAUCACAGACCAAGAGCUGGAAGAAGCUGUCCUGACAUCUAUUCAAAAGCAAUGUGAUGUUCCUGAUUUGGGAUCUGCUUCUCUUGCGUCUGUUUCCGAAGAGUCUUACUUUGUUAUCCCACCGGACAGUGUCCUUCAAGUUCCAUUGGAUAGGCCACAGUUCUCCAAGACUUCAUCUUUAUUCCUCAACAUUAUUCUCUGCAGUCUAUGACAUCACUCCUGCUUAAGCUUCUCUACGCUGACUACCAUAAGAAUUAAGAUUUAUGAUAGAGGACCCUCUCAUCCCCUUCAUCAACUCCCACCAGACAGGAGAUUCAAUCUACUACCACCAACUACAAGAACUCCUCAGCAGAAAGCUUUCUUAACGGACAAUAAAGUUUAUUUAUCUA